UACGGAGGAUGCAAGCGUUAUCCGGAAUGAUUGGGCGUAAAGCGUGCGCAGGUGGCUGUGUAAGUCUGCUGUUAAAGAGUGAGGCUCAACCUCAUAAAGGCAGUGGAAACUACAUGGCUAGAGUGCGUUCGGGGCAGAGGGAAUUCCUGGUGUAGCGGUGAAAUGCGUAGAGAUCAGGAAGAACACCGGUGGCGAAAGCGCUCUGCUAGGCCGCAACUGACACUGAGGGACGAAAGCUAGGGGAGCGAAUGGG
rnacentral:rRNA from 1 species